rnacentral:tRNA from 1 species
CAAAGUGUAGCUUAAGCAAAAGCACCCGGCUUACACCCAGGAGAUUUCAACCAAACAGACCACUUUGA